UGAGGAACAUGACUUUCGGCGGGGGAUAGCCGGCCCAACGGCCGGGUAAUACCGCGUACGACCACAUGGGGACAUCCCUGAGUGGUGAAAGCAGCAAUGCGCCGAUGGAGUGCCUCGCGGCCUAUCAGCUAGUUGGUGAGGUAACGGCUCACCAAGGCGACGACGGGUAGCUGGUCUGAGAGGAUGGCCAGCCANAUUGGGACUGAGACACGGCCCAGACCUCUACGU
rnacentral:rRNA from 1 species